UCAGAGAUGAUUGCCGGCAAUAAGUCUGUGGUAACCCUCAAACCACAAUCUUGUUUGUGGGUUGCCACCAUUACAGACACCAACCAUCUUGCAGCUAUAGUUUACUCCAGCAGCCUCAGCAGAAUUUAUGGUUCCAACAAUUAAAGCAAGUCAACCUUGAAGCAGCACAGCAGCCCCAACCCAUAACCGUACCACCUUGUUUGACUCUUGAUAUGAUGUUCUUUUUAUGAAAUUAUGUUAUUUUCUCAAAUGGAUUAUCAAGAUGUUUUUUGUUUGUUUUUUCGUCAGGAGUACUUUUCUUCCAUGUAUGCUGUUUUUUUCCCCAGUCUCUUUCUUAUUACUGAUUCACAAACUCUGAACGAAGGCAAGUGAGGCCUGCAGUUUAUAAAGUGUUUGUGUGUUUUGUUUUGUUUUUUAACUUCCUGGAUGAGUUGUCGUUGGUGUAAGAGCCUAGCAUGAUGUUUUUGCCUUUUGAAAUCGUUAAGCCUGCUUCACUUUCUCAGACAAAUUUUAUUUAAGCGAUUUCUUGAUUCUGGUCUGGCAGCAAUCAAACCUGGGUGUGGAUAGUGGCACUGAACUAGACUUUCUAAAGAAAAUGUGGUUAAUCAUGGGGUCAUUAUUAUUUUAAAGCUUCACAGUAUAAAAGUCAUUUAGCAGCCAUACUGAAUUAUCCAGGGACUUGAAAUGGAAAUUCCAAAGGUCAUUUGGAGAUAAAACCUGCAUGUGCAGGAUAUCUGGCCCCUCUUUUGCUUAACAAACCUUUAUCACCAAUGAGAGAAACAUAUUUUUGUAUAUUGUCUGGUAAGUAUUAAAGUAUUAUUAUUAUUUGGUUAAUGUAUAUUUUAUUUUAAGGUGUAUUAUUUUUUGUUGUAAUGUAAUGUACUGUGAUGAUGGUUAGAAAGUGUGUGUGUGGCUGCUGAAGAAGUGAUCAGUUGCACUUUGACCUUUAACCUCUCUGCUCUGUGUUGUUUCCUCUUUCAGGCCAGAAAAUCAUCACAGCUGAGUCUGGACAGAACGUCACUCUGCCAUGUCGAGCUCCAAACAACAACAUCAUAGUUGUAGAGUGGAGCAGAGCUGACCUGGGAGAAGAAUAUGUUCUUUAUUACAAGGAUGCGCAGUUUAUUACAGAUGAACAGCAUCCAUCUUUUAAGGACCGUGUCACUCUGCAGGACAGACAGAUGAAGGAUGGAGACGUGUCUUUGAUUCUGAAGAAUGUGACGAUUAAUGAUAAUGGAACAUACGAGUGUCGUGUUGUCCUGCAAGUGAGAGGACCUAUGACUCACAUCAACACCAUCCACCUUCAUGUUGAUCCUCCAGCUGCAGGUCAGACAGGAGGAGACACAGAGGAUGGAGGGAAGGAGGAUGGAGGGAAGGAGGCUGGAGGGAAGGAGGAUAGACAGAGGGAAAAUGGAUCUGUUGGGCUGAAGGUUUGUCUGACAGUUUCUAGCAUGCUUCUUCUUGUUGCUGUUGGUUUUGCAGUCUAGAGAACAACAGAGCCUUCCUGCUGAUAAGCAGCUUGUUUUGAAAUGUCCCAAAGAUUUUAACGGAUUGACUCAGAGUCUCUCAUCGAGCUACCAACUUCUUGGUGUUGUCACAUAAAAUUUCUUUAAUCUGACCAAAGUAAUAAUAAAUAGACAUUGCUUUUCAACCAUGCUUCCACAGUCCUGGACAAAAGUGAUGGUACCCACAACUUCAUAUUUUGUUGCACAACCUUUUGAGGCAAUCACUGCAAUCAAACGAUUCCUGUAACUGUCAAUGAGACUUCUGCCCCUCUAUGCAGGUAUUUUGGCCCACUCCUCAUGAGCAAACUGUUCCAGUUGUUUCCGAUUUGAAGGGCUCCUUUUCCAGACUGCAUGUUUUAGAAUAGAAUUGAGGUCAGGUCUCACAGAAGGCCACCU